CCGGACCGAGCGGAGCGAAGGGUCCCCGCACCCUCGCCCUGGCGCAGUGCUGUCUCCGUUCAGAAGGGGGCGCCCAGGUCCCAGCCCUUCCUCCAGGCUCACCUGGGGACACCGCCACGGUUCUCGCCCCGUGACAGGGACAUGGAAAGAGUGGUAUCUGUGACCAGACUCUGUCAAGAAAGGUUUCCAGAGGAUUGGACAUCCAAGCUGGAUCUUGAAGGGUAAAUAGGAGUUUUCCAAGCAAGGAAGAAAUCGCCCAAUGUUGUGAUUAUUUAUCAUCAUCAUAAUAUUGCUAACAUUCAUGUGCCAGGUACUCUACUAAGCACUUUACUUCUAUUACCUGAUGUAAUCCUCACAACAACUCUAGGAAAGAGACACCUUAACAACUAAGCUACAUGACCAGAGUGGCAACUCUAUGUUUAACAUUUUGAGGAACUACCAAACUAUUUUCCAGAAUGGCUACAGCAUUUUACAUUCCCAUCAGUGAUGUUAUGAGGAUUUCAAUUUCUUAACAUCCUUGUCAAUACCUGGUGUUUUAUUGUAGCUAUCCUAAUGGGUAUAAAGUGAUAUCUCAUUGA